UACCCAAAGUGUUCAAUUUUGAACCGUGGUAGGUGAGUAAUGUUCCCUACUAGAAAGGAGAGGGCAAGGCUGGUGCCAGCCGCCGCGGUAAAACCAGCUCUUCAAGUGGUCGGGAUAAUUAUUGGGCUUAAAGUGUCCGUAGCCGGUUUAGUAAGUUCCUGGUAAAAUCGGGUAGCUUAACUAUCUAUAUGCUAGGAAUACUACUAUACUAGAGGGCGGGAGAGGUCUGAGGUACUACAGGGGUAGGGGUGAAAUCUUAUAAUCCUUGUUGGACCACCAGUGGCGAAGGCGUCAGACUGGAACGCGCCUGACGGUGAGGGACGAAAGCCAGGGGAGCGAACCGGAUUAGAUACCCGGGUAGUCCUGGCCGUAAACGAUGCAUACUAGGUGAUGGCACGGCCAUGAGCCGUGUCAGUGCCGUAGGGAAACCGUUAAGUGUGCCGCCUG
rnacentral:rRNA from 1 species